GACGAACGCUGGCGGCGUGCUUAACACAUGCAAGUCGAACGGUAAGGCCCUUCGGGGUACACGAGUGGCGAACGGGUGAGUAACACGUGGGUGAUCUGCCCUGCACUUCGGGAUAAGCCUGGUAAACUGGGUCUAAUACCGGAUAGGACUCCUUGCCUCAUGGUUGGGGGCGGACAGCUUUUGCGGUGUGGGAUGGGCCCGCGGCCUAUCAAGUUGUUGGUGUGGUCAUGGCCUACCAAGGCGACGACGGGUAGCCGGCCGGAGAGGGUGACCGGUCACACUGGGACUGAGAUACGGCCCAGACUCCUACGGGAGGCAGCAGUGGGGAAUAUUGCACAAUGGGCGCAAGCCUGAUGCAGCGACGCCGCGUGAGGGAUGACGGCCUUCGGGUUGUAAACCUCUUUCAGCUAUGACGAAGCGCAAGUGACGGUAGUAGCAGAAGAAGGACCGGCCAACUACGUGCCAGCAGCCGCAGUAA
rnacentral:rRNA from 1 species